GCUAUGGUAGCUUAACACAAAGCACCGGCCUUGUAAGCCGGAGAAUGGAGGCUAACGCCCCUCCCCAUCGC
rnacentral:tRNA from 1 species